ACUUCAGAGGAUAGCAGAAGCGUUUGGGAAAGCGCGCCAGAGAGGGUGAGAGCCCCGUAAGCGAAAUCCAAAGAAGGCCUAUCAGUAUCCUGAGUAGGGCGGGACACGUGAAAUCCCGUUUGAAUCCGCGAGGACCAUCUCGCAAGGCUAAAUACUAACCAGUGACCGAUAGUGAACCAGUACCGUGAGGGAAAGGUGAAAAGAACCCCGGGAGGGGAGUGAAAGAGAACCUGAAACCGUGUGCCUACAAGUAGUCAGAGCCCGUUAACGGGUAAUGGCGUGCCUUUUGUAGAAUGAACCGGCGAGUUGCGUUAGUCAGCAAGGUUAAGUCAGAAAAGACGGAGCCGUAGCGAAAGCGAGUCUGAAGAGGGCGAGCAGUUGGCUGACGCAGACCCGAAACCAAGUGACCUACCCAUGACCAGGUUGAAGGCGCGGUAAAACGCGCUGGAGGACCGAACCCACGUAAGUUGAAAAUUGCGGGGAUGAGUUGUGGGUAGCGGUGAAAUUCCAAACGAACUUGGAGAUAGCUGGUUCUCUCCGAAAUAGCUUUAGGGCUAGCCUCGCAAAGAGGAUGCUGGAGGUAGAGCUCUGUUUGGACUAGGGGCCCGUCAAGGGUUACUGAAUUCAGAUAAACU
rnacentral:rRNA from 1 species